AAAUAGGGAAAACCAUUUUUUUAGUAUAGUUUUCUUCAGUUUUUAAUUUGGUACUUGUGCUUAUUUUUCUUUUUAUUCCCUCCUUUAAGUUUCCUCCAUUAAACAUGUUACUCCUUACACUUUCUGAAAUCCCUUGAGGGACUUACGGAACACAAAAGGUGUUAUCAUUGGACUCUGAAACUUAGGAACUUCGAAGGCAUCCUGAUGAGAUUUGGGAUUGUUGUUCAUCAGUUCAGAGAGCUUCGCCUUAAUCUUCAUUCAACAUAAAGCAAAAGGGUGAUUAGGGAUCUCAUUUCACCCACGAGAGUGGAUUCAAAAAUUAGGGAUUCGAGUUUUGCAGAAAGCGAUUGGGUGAUUCAGCCUCGUCUUUCAGUGAUGGGGCGAUUUGACUUUGUCUUCAUGCAACAGAAUUGCGAUGGGAGGUUGUGCGCACGUAGAAGCCCAAGCUUUUAUUCUAAAAUGAUGCAAGACUUAGUGGCAGCAAUAUGGCUUAGUGGAAGCACUGAUUCUUGAAAAGCACCAAGAAGAGAAUGAUAGCAUGAAGGAAAACAGAGAAUUUGAUACAAGAGAAUGAGAUCAUGAAGGAAGAGAAAAACACUUGAAAGAAGACAAAGCGCACUUGAAAGAAGAGAAUGAGGGCAUGGUGAGAGAGAUUGAGAGGUUGAAGAUAAAGUCGUAGAGCUUAAAGAUUGUGUUCUUUAUUAGUGGCUAUCAUGUAUCUUUUGUUGUACUAAAAGUAGUGGAAUGUAAAGUGGGUAGAUAGGCCACUGUUAAUGUAAUUUAUGUAACCAUCAUUAUGAAAUAAAGAUGAGUUUUGUUGCUAA